rnacentral:tRNA from 1 species
GGGGCUGUGGUGCAAUAGGUUAACACCCUGGCCUACAGCGCCAGCAUCCCAUAUGGAUGCCGGUUCUAGUCCUGGCUGCUCCA